UCUAAUAGUUCACAUAAAAUUCCUUGGUUUCGAUUAUCUGUAAAAUAAUUAUAAAAUUAUAAUUUUUUGGUGAAAUAAAAAUUACAUUUAAAAUUUAUUUUUUUAGCUUAGUCGAUAAAUUAAAAUAAAACUAGGAUUAGAUACCCUAUUAUAAAAACUUAAAUUUUUUACCAUAUGAUUAUAAGUUAUAUUCUUUAAAGUAAAAUAAUUUGGCGGUAUUUUAGUCUGAUUAGAGGAACCUGUCUUGUAAUUGAUACUCCACGAUUAAAUAAACUUAAUCUUUAAAUUUAUAUAUCGUUGUUAAAAAUAUUCUAAAAGGAUAUAUUUUAUUAAUUUUUUGUAAAAAUUAGUACAGAUCAAGAUGUAGUUUAUGUUUAAGAAUUGAUGGGUUACAUUAAUAAUAAUUAAAGAUAUAUAUUUGUAAUUUUAAAUUGAAUAUGGAUUUAAUAGUAAAUUUUAAUAAAUUUUAAUUUUGAUUUUAGCUCUAAAAU
rnacentral:rRNA from 1 species